AAUAUUGGUAAAACAAAACAUAUAUAUUGUAAAAAUAUUGAAAAUGAAUUUUUUGAGAAAAUUAAUUAAAUUUUUGAAAUAAUGACAAAAGUUUUGAUGGCGUUUAAAAGAUACCAUCAGAAAAAAUGAAAAAAAAAAAUUUAUACAACCUCAACUCAUAUGGGACUACCCCCUGAAUUUAAGCAUAUUAAUGAGGGGAGGAAAAGAAACUAACAAGGAUUUUCUUAGUAGCGGCGAGCGAAAAGAAAUCAGUUCAGCACUAAGUCACUUUGUCAUAUGGCAAAUGUGAGAUGCAGUGUAUGGAAUGUCUAUAUGACUAGUAAUGAUAAAUUAACGAUUUAAGUCCUUCUUAAAUGAGGCAUUUACCCAUAGAGGGUGCCAGGCCCGUAUAACGUUAAUGAUUACUAGAAGAUAUUUCCAAAGAGUCGUGUUGCUUGAUAGUGCAGCACUAAGUGGGUGGUAAACUCCAUCUAAAACUAAAUAUAACCAUGAGACCGAUAGUAAACAAGUACCGUAGGAGGGAAAGUUGAAAAGAAACUCUGAAUAGAGAGUUAAAUAGUACGUGAAACUGCUUAGAGGUUAAGCCCGAUGAACCUGAAUAUCCAUUAUGGAAAAUUCAACAUUAUAAUUGUAAAUAUUUAAACAUUUACGAUAAUGGUGUGCUAUUUUUUCCAUAUAAGGACUUUGUAAUCUAUUAACAUAAUAUAUAUUUAUCAAAAGAUCAUUUACCGUUAAGUUUAUACAAAUUAUUAUGCUUGCAUUUUAACAUUGUAUAAAUGGUUGAAUGAUUUGAUAAAGUGUUGAUAGAUUUAUUAUAUAUAGUGUUUAAAUUAUAUUUAUAUAAUUUUACAAUGGUAUGUUAAUCAAUGAUUUUCAUACUUUAAUUGUAUAUCACUUAUAUGAUUAACAAUGCGAAAGAUUCAGGAUACCUUCGGGACCCGUCUUGAAACACGGACCAAGGAGUCUAACAUAUGUGCAAGUAAUUGGGAAUUAAAAAACCUAAUUGCGUAAUAAAAUAACUUUUUAUUAAUGGGUAUUAAUUUUAUUAAAAUUAUUUUAUAUAAUUUUUUAUAAAAAUUUAUUUUUAUAUUAAUACAAUCCCGGGGCGGUUCUAUAUAGUUAUGUAUAAUGAUAUUUAUAUUAUUUAUACCUCUAACUGGAGCGUACCUUGAGCAUAUAUGCUGGACCCGAAAGAUGGUGAACUAUACUUGAUCAGGUUGAAGUCAGGGGAAACCCUGAUGGAAGACCGAAACAGUUCUGACGCAAAUCGAUUGUCAGAAUUUGAGUAUAGGGGCGAAAGUCCAAUCGAACCAUCUAGUAGCUGGUUCCUCCGAAGUUUCCCUCAGGAUAGCUGGUGCAUUUAAAUAUUAAAUAAAAUAAUCUUAUCUGGUAAAGCGAAGAUUAGAGGCCUUAGGUCACCACACCACUCGUGGCCUUAAGGGUCGAAACGACUUAACCUAUUCUCAAACUUUAAAGUGGGUAAGAACCUCAACUUACUUGAUAUGAAGGUUGUGGUUAUGAUAUAAUGUGCCCAGUGGGCCACUUUUGGUAAGCAAACUGGCGCUGUGGGAUGAACCAAACGUAAUGUUACGGUGCCCAAAAUUAACAACUCAUCAGAUACCACAAAUUAACAACUCAUGCAGAUACCAUUAAAGGCGUUGUUGCUUAAACAGCAGGACGGUGGACAUGGAAGUCGUAAUCCGCUAAGGAGUGUGUAACAACUCACCUGCCGAAGCAACUAGCCCUUAAAAUGGAUGGCGCUUAAGUUGUAUACCUAUACAAUUACCGCUAAAGUAAUGGAUUUAUAUUCAAUUUCGGUUGUAAUUAUAAAACUUUAGUGAGUAGGAGGGUACAAUGGUGUGCACAGAAGUGUUUGGCGUAAGCCUCAUGGAGCCGCCAUUGGACAGAUCUUGUGGUAGUAGCAAAUAAAUCGAAUGAGACCUUGGAGGACUGAAGUGGAGAAGGGUUUCGUGUGAACAGUGGUUGAUCACGAGUUAGUCGGUCCUAAGUUUAAGGCGAAAGACCGAAAAAUUUUCAUGUUUAUUAUGAUAAUAAAAUAAUAUUAUUAUUGUAAAUUAACGAACAUGAUUAUUUUUGAACGAAAGGGAAUACGGUUCCAAUUCCGUAACCUGUUGAGUAUCCGUUUGUUAUUAAAUAUGGGCCUUGUGCUCAUCCUGGCAACAGGAACGACCAUAAAGAAGCCGUCGAGAGGUAUCGGAAGAGUUUUCUUUUCUGUUUUAUAGUCGUACUACCAUGGAAGUCUUUCGAAGAGAGAUAUGGUAGAUGGGCUAGAAGAGCAUGACAUUUACUGUUGUGUCGAUAUUUUCUCCUCGGACCUUGUAAAUUUAUGGUGGGGUCACGCAAACUUCUCAAACAGGCCGUACCGAUAUCCGCAGCUGGUACUCCAAGGUGUAAGAGUCUAGUCGAUAGAAUAACGUAGGUAAGGGAAGUCGUCAAAUUAGAUCCGUAACUUCGGGAUAAGGAUUGGCUCUGAAGAUUGAGAGUAGUCGGGCUUGAUUGGAAGCAAUAUCAUGGUUUAUAUACUCAUUCUGGGUAAAUAGAGAUUCUUGAAUCUUGUUCCCCGGAUAGUAGUUAUGUAGCCUAUUGUGGAAAUUCUAGCUAAUAUUAAUUUGAGUGUUGAAUUGAUGAGUGUUGAAUUGAAAAUUUUUCAUCUAUUUUAAUUAUAACGAUUUCAAUUAACAAUCAAAUUCAGAACUGGCACGGACUUGGGGAAUCCGACCACUGUCUAAUUAAACAAAGCAUUGUGAUUGGCCCUAACGGGUGUUGACCAUGUGAUUUCUGCCCAGUGCUCUGAAUGUAAAGUGAAGAAAAUUACAAGUAAGCGCGGGUAAACGGCGGGAGUAACUAACUAUGACUCUCUAAGGUAGCCAAAUUGCCUCGUCACCUAAUUAGUGACGCGCAUGAAUGGAUUAACGAGAUUCCCUCUGUCCCUAUCUACUAUCUAGCCCAAGGGAACGGGCUUGGAAUAAAUUAGCGGGGAAUGAAGACCCUGUUGAGCUUGACUCUAGUCUGGCAUGUAAGGAGACAUAAGGGUGUAGCAUAAGUGGAGAAUGUAAUAAUUCGGUUUACAUCAACUAAUGAAACAAAAGCUCGGCCUAUUUUAAAGAGUUUUUUA
rnacentral:rRNA from 1 species